rnacentral:rRNA from 1 species
AGUGAACGCUGGCGGUAGGCCUAACACAUGCAAGUCGAACGGCAGCACAGUAAGAGCUUGCUCUUACGGGUGGCGAGUGGCGGACGGGUGAGGAAUACAUCGGAAUCUACUUUUUCGUGGGGGAUAACGUAGGGAAACUUACGCUAAUACCGCAUACGACCUACGGGUGAAAGCAGGGGAUCUUCGGACCUUGCGCGAUUGAAUGAGCCGAUGUCGGAUUAGCUAGUUGGCGGGGUAAAGGCCCACCAAGGCGACGAUCCGUAGCUGGUCUGAGAGGAUGAUCAGCAACACUGGAACUGGGACACGGUCCAGACUCCUACGGGAGGCAGCAGUGGGGAAUAUUGGACAAUGGGCGCAAGCCUGGUCCAGCCAUACCGCGUGGGUGAAGAAGGCCUUCGGGUUGUAAAGCCCUUUUGUUGGGAAAGAAAAGCAGCAGGUUAAUACCCCGCUGUUCUGACGGUACCCAAAGAAUAAGCACCGGCUAACUUCGUG